CUUGGCUGCCCUGCCAACAACGCUGUACUGUGCGUUCAAACCGCCGCCGGCGGGAGGGUCAAAGUAAAUGACAUGUUGUGGCAACCAAUCGGAAUCCUCUCAAGCGAGGACCUCUACAUUCCGAUUGGUUGCCGCUGAACCGCGUCAUAGCUCAUUACCAUAAAGCUGACCUGACUUCAACUCUCCUCGACGCUCUCACCGUCCAAGACGCGCCGCGCCGCUCUCGCUGGAGCUCGCCGCCGGCUCACAUUGAAAAUGAAUGACUUGCUGUCACUUCGACGCUCUCGACGGCGGCGGUGUGAACGCACGGUUCUGUCUCUCUUCCUCUCUCUCUCUCUCUCUAUCUCUCUCUCUCUGUUUCUUUCACUAAUCCCUGGUAAAUGGCUGAAGUAUAGAAAGCCCUGCAGGCGAGGAGGUUUUGUGCUUGGAGGAGUGCUCAGUGAAGCACGCAGGAGAAAGGAGACACUAAGGGCACAUAGUUUGGGCUCAAGGUGACCUCAGGUAUGCACACACCCUCUGGUCCACUACACAAAGAAGAACGAGAAGAUCUAAAGUCUCCCAAUAACAAACUCUUCAGGCUGUGUGGAUCAGAUGAGCUAAAGUCUUGUUGGAGUGUCUGAAGUGCUGUCCGCCCCAUCACCUUUGACCCGACACCCGACCCCUGAUGUGUUUUGUUGGGGUGCAGUUGUCAUGCGGCACAAUAGGAGGAAGACAACAGGCCUGGGACGCUGCGGCAGUUUGUAGGCCUUCGGGCACAGACACCAUCCGCCAACCCCCUCCCACCCAUUACCUUAGUGGGGUAAAUCCAAAUCACUCAACUGUGUCUCCUGCCCCCCUCCUUCUCCAAAACCUCAAUCUCCUGCCUGUGCUACUAACAAGAUCUGAUACUAUCAGAUAACUGCUGGAAGUGCAGAAGUGGGUGGAGAAAUCAUUCUCCACCACCAACGAGAUGUCACCACCAUCUUUGUUGGAACUGUCACGUUAGAGUGGUUUGUGCUCCUCGCUUAUUGGAAAGACCAACAGACAUUGUUGGGCGAAUAAAAACAUGCCUCCAAUAUCAGAUCUCAUCGCCAUCCUGAAAAUGAUUGCUGGAUGAAGUAUGUCAUAGACAAGAUUGCCUAUGUGUGUGAGUGUGUGCGCAUUUGAGGCUUCCACACGGCGUAUGCAAGAAUCAAAUUAUGAUUCAGGAACGAAAACGUUGGAGUUCACGCAGAUAGAUCCUCAUCUAGCAUUAUGAGUAAUUUAAACCUGAAACUGCUUAACCAUUUCACAACAGUUCAAACAAAGCACAAGAGAUUUUAAUGAGUGUCAGAGGCCAAAGAAGAUCUGAUAAUCUCAAUGAGAUGAGAGAAGAAACCUUAAAUGGAUAUUAAUAUCAAAUCAGGACUUGAGGAGUGGGAGCAGCGUAGCGCGAAAUGCCCAAUCUGAAGAUCUCAGGCCCGUCUCUGCGCUGGCACUAAUGUGAGCUGACCUCUUCGAGCCCUCUGUUAGGAUCUGGAGAGACUCUGAUUAAUAAUGGAGAAUCGGCGCGGUCAAAGACGGCUAUCUUGGUGGUAUGAGUCGGAGAUGUCCCCCUGCGUCAGUCACCCCGAAAAACACAACCGUCCUAGAGCCCCAGAGGACGGAAUCUAUAAUUGAUGAGAGAUCAAAAAUGAAGAAGGACACUAUGUAGGUUGUGUGAUUUGAAUGGUCGAAUGUGCUGGAAUGGUGAUUUUGUUAGUUUUGAUAUGAGAAUGGGAGAGAAACCUGAAUUGGAGAAAAACAUGCAAGGAACUUUGUAUUGGAAUUAUUUGAUUAAAAAAAUAAUAAAAAAUACGGCAAUUAAAGUGGCAAAAAUGACAGUGACACAAUUUCACGUUUAGAAGAUUUUAAAUAUUUCCGUACACAACCUCAGAUUUACAAUAGAUUAACUAGAUUUGUGGUUUCCAGACUUCUCAGGCCAAGCACCAACUCUAAACAACUUUAGAAUCUGAACAGGUAACACUUAUUCACCAAUGUGUAAGGAUAUUUUUUAAUGAGUAGAAACUUUGAAAAGAAUAUUACCAAAGUCCCUUUAAGACAAGUCAUUUCACUCGGC